AUCGGGUACACAAAUAGUCACAGCAUCUUUAUUUAUAACAGCAAAACACUGGAAACAACCCAAAUGUCCAUCAACAGUGAAUGGAUACACAAACCCUGGUGCAUCCAUUUAAAAGAAUACUAACUCAGUAACAAAAAUUAAAACUAUUUAGACACCUAACAACUUGGAUAGAUCUUAAGGGUAAUUUGCUGAGUGAACAAAGCCCUAUCUCAAAGCUUGCGUACCUUACGAUUCCAUUUUAAUAGCAUUCUUGAAAUAACAAAAUUAGGGUAAUGGGAUCAGUGGCUACCAUGGGUCAUAUUGGGAGGACAGUGUGAGUAUAAAGAGGUAGCAAGAGGAGGCCAGGCGUGGUGGCUCAUGCCUGUAAUCCCAGCACUUUGGGAGGCUGAGGCGGGUGGACCGCCCGGGGUCGAGAGUUCAAGGCCAGCCUGGCCAACACAGUGAAACCCCGUCUCUACUAAAAAUACAAAAAUUAGUCGAGCGUGGUCGUGGGUGCCUGUAAUCCCAGCUACUUAGGAGGCUGAGGCAGGAAAAUCUCUUGAACCUGGGAGGCGGGGUUGCAGUGAGCCAAGAUCGUGCUAUUACACUCCAACCUGGGCAACAAGAGCAGAACUCCGUGGUUUUUAUUAUUAUGGUUAUGUAUGCUGUCACAGAAUAGAUAUCAAGUGUAUCAUGAGUUUAGAUUUGUGACAGUCCUCAAAUAUGGUUUUUUUUUUUUUUUUUUGAGGCAGAGUUUCGCUCUUGUUGCCCAGGCUGGAAUGCAAUGGCGCAAUCUUGGCUCACUGAAACCUCUGCCUCCCAGGUUCAAGUGAUUCUCCAGCUUAGCCUCCAGAGUAGCUGGGAUUACAAGCGUGAGCCACCAUGCUCGGCUAAUUUUGUAUUUUUAGUAGAGAGGGGGGCUUCACCAUGUUGGUCAGGCUGGUCUCGAACUCCCGACCUCAAGUGAUCCACCCACCUUGGCCUCCCAAAGUGCUGGGAUUACAGGUGCAAGCCACCAUGCCCGGCAUUAUGUAUCAUUUUCAUGAGACUUUUUUACUUCAUGAAUUUCCUGAUCCUUUUUAAAGUUACUCUUCAUAUAAGUUUUAUUUCUGUAUGAAGUAAUGAUGAUGAGGCAGCAUGUAUCACUGAAAUCCUCGUGUAUUCACUGCCAUCUGAAACUUGUUCUCCAGUAUGAAAUAUAUCUGCCAACUGUUAAGGUUUUAUUUCUGGGCAAAGGCUUUCCCAUGAUAAUGCUGCUAGUAUGUGUAAGUUCAUUGAUGAUCUAUUAUGAUCACUGAAGAGAUAGGGUCUUUCUUCCCAUAGAAGGCUUUCCUAGCCUACUCCUUUGUAAGAUUUAUCUCAGUAAAUACUUUUCAAGACAUAGUUACUUAGAAAAUUUUCAAGACUUUUCUGCAUUGGAUGUAUCAAGUUUAUUUCCUACAUGUUUAUUGUGAC
rnacentral:lncRNA from 1 species